rnacentral:piRNA from 1 species
UAUUAAUGUGGUAGGUAGAUGCUGUUUCC